rnacentral:pre_miRNA from 1 species
UAAAUACUCCCUCCAUCCGAAAAUACUUAUCAUCAAAAUGGAUAAAAAGAGAUGUAUCUAAAACUAAAAUACGUCUAGAUACAUUUCCUUUUAUCCAUUUUUAUGACAAGUAUUUCCGGAUGGAGGGAGUAUUUG